rnacentral:rRNA from 1 species
CUACGGGGUGCAGCAGUGGGGAAUAUUGCACAAUGGGCGCAAGCCUGAUGCAGCAACGCCGCGUGAGGGAUGAAGGCCUUCGGGUUGUAAACCUCUUUUAGCAGGGAAGAAGCGAAAGUGACGGUACCUGCAGAAAAAGCACCGGCUAACUACGUGCCAGCAGCCGCGGUAAUACGUAGGGUGCAAGCGUUGUCCGGAAUUAUUGGGCGGAAAGAGCUCGUAGGCGGUUUGUCACGUCUGCUGUGAAAAUCCAAGGCUCAACCUUGGACUUGCAGUGGGUACGGGCAGGCUAGAGUGCGGUAGGGGAGAUGGGAAUUCCUGGUGUAGCGGUGGUAUGCGCAGAUAUCAGGAGGAACACCAAUGGCGAAGGCACAUCUCUGGGCCGUAACUGACGCUGAGGAGCGAAAGCGUGGGGAGCGAACAGGAUUAGAUACCCGCGUAGUC